rnacentral:rRNA from 1 species
UACGUAGGGUGCAAGCGUUGUCCGGAAUUAUUGGGCGUAAAGAGCUCGUAGGCGGUUUGUCGCGUCUGCUGUGAAAUCUGGGGGCUCAACCCCAGCCUGCAGUGGGUACGGCAGACUAGAGUGCGGUAGGGGAGAUUGGAAUUCCUGGUGUAGCGGUGGAAUGCGCAGAUAUCAGGAGGAACACCGAUGGCGAAGGCAGAUCUCUGGCCGUAACUGACGCUGAGGAGCGAAAGCGUGGGGGAGCGAACAGG